rnacentral:rRNA from 1 species
GCGGUUAAAGAUGGGCGUGCACCUGAUUAGAUAGUUGGUGAGGUAACGGCUCACCAAGUCAGCGAUCAGUAACUGGUGUGAGAGCACGACCAGUCACACGGGCACUGAGACACGGGCCCG